AGUGAACGCUGGCGGUAGGCCUAACACAUGCAAGUCGAACGGCAGCACAGUAAGAGCUUGCUCUUACGGGUGGCGAGUGGCGGACGGGUGAGGAAUACAUCGGAAUCUACUUUUUCGUGGGGGAUAACGUAGGGAAACUUACGCUAAUACAGCAUACGACCUACGGGUGAAAGCAGGGGAUCUUCGGACCUUGCGCGAUUGAAUGAGCCGAUGUCGGAUUAGCUAGUUGGCGGGGUAAAGGCCCACCAAGGCGACGAUCCGUAGCUGGUCUGAGAGGAUGAUCAGCCACACUGGAACUGAGACACGGUCCAGACUCCUACGGGAGGCAGCAGUGGGGAAUAUUGGACAAUGGGCGCAAGCCUGAUCCAGCCAUACCGCGUGGGUGAAGAAGGCCUUCGGGUUGUAAAGCCCUUUUGUUGAGAAAGAAAAGCAGCAGGUUAAUACCCCGCUGUUCUGACGGUACCCAAAGAAUAAGCACCGGCUAACUUCGUG
rnacentral:rRNA from 1 species